UACGAAGGGGGCUAGCGUUGUUCGGAAUUACUGGGCGUAAAGCGCGCGCAGGCGGCCAUUCAAGUCAGGGGUGAAAGCCCGGAGCUCAACUCCGGAAUUGCCUUUGAAACUGAUUGGCUCGAGUACGGGAGAGGUGAGUGGAAUUCCCAGUGUAGAGGUGAAAUUCGUAGAUAUUGGGAAGAACACCGGUGGCGAAGGCGGCUCACUGGCCCGUUUCUGACGCUCAUGCGCGACAGCGUGGGAUC
rnacentral:rRNA from 1 species